AAUGGAAUGGCCGAUUAAAGCGAUAAAUUGUAAAUUUAUUUAUGAUCAAAAGAUCUUCCAUUA
rnacentral:tRNA from 1 species